UACGUAGGGGGCAAGCGUUGUCCGGAAUUAUUGGGCGUAAAGCGCGCGCAGGCGGUUGGUUAAGUUUGGUGUAUAAACCUGGGGCUCAACCCCGGAUCGCACUGAAAACUGGUCAACUGGAGUGCGGGAGAGGAAAGUGGAAUUCCACGUGUAGCGGUGAAAUGCGUAGAGAUGUGGAGGAACACCAGUGGCGAAGGCGACUUUCUGGACCGUAACUGACGCUGAGGCGCGAAAGCGUGGGGAGCAAACAGG
rnacentral:rRNA from 1 species